rnacentral:rRNA from 1 species
GAUGAACGCUGGCGGCGUGCUUAACACAUGCAAGUCGAACGGUGAAGCAGGAGCUUGCUCUUGUGGAUCAGUGGCGAACGGGUGAGUAACACGUGAGCAACCUGCCCCUGACUCUGGGAUAAGCGCUGGAAACGGCGUCUAAUACUGGAUAUGUGAUGUGACCGCAUGGUCUGCAUCUGGAAAGAAUUUCGGUUGGGGAUGGGCUCGCGGCCUAUCAGCUUGUUGGUGAGGUACUGGCUCACCAAGGCGUCGACGGGUAGCCGGCCUGGGAGGGUGACCGGCCACACUGGGACUGAGACACGGCCCAGACUCCUACGGGAGGCAGCAGUGGGGAAUAUCGCACAAUGGGCGGAAGCCUGAUGCAGCAACGCCGCGUGAGGGAUGACGGCCUUCGGGUUGUAAACCUCUUUUAGCAGGGAAGAAGCGAAAGUGACGGUACCUGCAGAAAAAGCACCGGCUAACUACGUGCCAGCCGCCGCCGUAA